CUCGCGAGACCAAAAUCGCCUAGCUUGGCAUUGAAGUCGGAGUCCAACAACACGUUGCUUGAUUUAAUGUCUCUGUGAACCACACAUUGUUGCCACCCUUCGUGUAAGUAAAGCAGUCCCGACGCUAAUCCUUGAGCAAUUUUGAACCUUAACUCCCAUGGCAAUAAGCUGUUUUGGUUGAACAGGUGAGAAUCUAAGCUACCAUUGGGCAUGAAUUCGUAAACAAGGAGGAGUUGUUUGUUUUCAUGGCACCAGCCAAUGAGUUGAACGAGAUUUCGAUGUCGUAAUCCGCUUAUGAUCUUUACUUCCGAAGCAUACUCUUU
rnacentral:lncRNA from 1 species